GAGAAGGGCCAAUACUAUUAUUAUUAUUAUUAUUAUUAUCCAUGUUCAUAGUGGAGUAGUUGAAGAGUGGAUUAGGGUUAUUCGCCUCCAUGAAAGAACAAGCCAUUCUGGUAUCGAAAA